rnacentral:rRNA from 1 species
CCUACGGGAGGCAGCAGUGGGGAAUAUUGGGCAAUGGAGGCAACUCUGACCCAGCAACGCCGCGUGAAUGAUGAAGGUCUUCGGAUUGGAAAGUUCUUUUCUAAGGGAAGAAGAAAGUGACGGUACCUUAGGAAUAAGCGUCGGCUAACUACGUGCCAGCAGCGGCGGGAAGACGUAGGAGGCAAGCGUUAUCCGGAAUGACGGGGCGUAACGGGUGAGUGGGGGGUUUGACAAGUUAGUAGCGCAACUCCGGAGCUCAACUUCGGAACUACUACUAAGACGGUUUGACUGUAGUGCAGGUGUGGCAAUCGGUCUCCCUAUUGUAGCGGUGUAAUGCUUAGUUAUU